GGGUUGUGAGGUUAAGCGACUAAGCGUACACGGUGGAUGCCCUGGCAGUCAGAGGCGAUGAAGGGCGUGCUAAUCUGCGAUAAGCGCCGGUAAGGUGAUAUGAACCGUUAUAACCGGCGAUACCCGAAUGGGGAAACCCAGUGUGAYUCGUCACACUAUCAUUAACUGAAUCCAUAGGUUAAUGAGGCGAACCGGGGGAACUGAAACAUCUAAGUACCCCGAGGAAAAGAAAUCAACCGAGAUUCCCCCAGUAGCGGCGAGCGAACGGGGAGGAGCCCAGAGCCUGAAUCAGCAUGUGUGUUAGUGGAAGCGUCUGGAAAGGCGCGCGAUACAGGGUGACAGCCCCGUACACAAAAGCGCAUGUGCUGUGAGCUCGAUGAGUAGGGCGGGACACGUGGUAUCCUGUCUGAAUAUGGGGGGACCAUCCUCCAAGGCUAAAUACUCCUGACUGACCGAUAGUGAACCAGUACCGUGAGGGAAAGGCGAAAAGAACCCCGGCGAGGGGAGUGAAAAAGAACCUGAAACCGUGUACGUACAAGCAGUGGGAGCAUAACCUGUGGCUGGGGGUGAAAGGCCAAUCAAACCGGGAGAUAGCUGGUUCUCCCCGAAAGCUAUUUAGGUAGCGCCUCGUGAAUUCAUCUCCGGGGGUAGAGCACUGUUUCGGCUAGGGGGCCAUCCCGGCU
rnacentral:rRNA from 1 species